CAAUUUCACAUUCUCCGGAGUCGACUCCAAGAACUCUUCUCCAAAACCCAGUGCUUCCCAUUAAUUCCUGACUCUUCACACAUUCACCUAAAUUUCUUUCCACUCAUUCCAAUUCUCCUGUUUAACAUUAAAAAUAAUAUAAUCCCUUCGAUCAUUUGUCUCAUAGAUCUCAAAGCAUACCAACAUAUUUGCACAAAUCCUAAAGCUCCAUUCACUCCUCAACUAAAAUCCCAUGCUUCAACCAUUUCCCCAGCUUCCG
rnacentral:lncRNA from 1 species